GAUACACGAUCUUUCAACAUUCUUAGUUUACAUAAGUAUGGAAAUGCGUGUUUGUUGCGUAAACGUUUUGACGAAUGAACCGAGAACCGGCCGGCAGCAUCUGAUCGUAAAUUCAAAAGCGAGUCAAGUCAACAUCUUGCGCGUUAGCUUUCCAUUAUUAUGCCGAGAGGAGCUAGGAAGAAGCAUCUGUUGUGGUCUGUUGCCUUUUGCUGGCCGUAUGAGAGCAACUCGUUCAUAACACUAAGACCGCCCAACAACAAGAACAAGACGCUUGAUUGUAAGAAUAUAGGUCGGCUAGACAACGCCAGAUGGUCGUGAUGAGAUUGGCCAACAUAAUUUCUUCACAAUGUAUCCGACAACAGAUAAAUGCUACAGGCACACUUUUUCUACUACUCUCACGGCUGUCCCCACUUAAACCAUUGGCUCAAUCAAAUGCGCCAUCCAUCUUCAUAUACACUAGAGAGAGAAAUCUAACCGGCUUCUGAUUCGCUGGUACCUGUUCCAUCUCACGCCUGAUUUCGCUUUAAAUUUUUUUUUCCCAGUUCACGUCGCGUUUACUCUCAUACAGCUAAACAAGGUGGGGAGGACUCAAAAGGAAAUUUUGAUAACCGAGACCCUAUGGAACAUAACGUGGGAAAACGAUUUAAUAAAUGAAAAGUAAUAACUGCUA